UCACCCUCCCCUGCUCCCACCAGCAGAGCCAAGCAAAAUCCUGGACAUUUGGUCAGAUUUAGACAUCCUGCCUGGACAAAGAUCAGAGGGCUCAAAAAGAGGAUGUGUCCAGGAAAUCUGGAUGUAUGGUAACCCUACCCCAGGGCCAGGGGACAGGGCUGGCCCCAGCCCGGCUCCUGCAAACCUGUGGGGCAGGAGAAGCUCUGCUGUGGCUUUCCCCUCACCAGGCCCCUUCUCCCAGCUCCUCCCUGUGAUGUGGGGAAGGUCAAAGCACAUAAUAGUGACCGCCCAGAAAUCCCAGGAAACUUGGCCUCCCAGGGUAGAAAUAGCAGAUGUGCUGGAGAUCGUGGAAGUAGUCCAAUGGAUGGACACCUGGGCCUUGCUCCUUGCACGGCCUGAUCCUGCUCUCCUCGUCCUGGCGAAAGCAAGGGGAAGAUCUCAGCUAUACACUGACUUUAUGGAAAUGGGAGACUCCUCUGUAGCUUGCUUCUGUGGCCAUAUGACUGAAGGCAAGUGAAACUCGGGGGUAUCCGAACUGCAAGCCUCUGCACUUCAGCCUGCAUGUUCCCAGCUGCAGGUGACCACGGCACCCUCCUCCACAGCCCACAUGGGCUCAGGGGCCCUGCCGCAGUGCCAGUUCACUGUUGUGGAGCUGGUAGCCCUGCGCUCCCUGCCAGUUAUGUGGUAUUUCUGAGAGAAGAAGGUGUCCAAAUAUAAUGAAGGCAGGAGCCAGGCCCAGACCAGAGCCAGCCUGCCAUUGGAGAAGGAGCUGGAGAGCAAAGAUACCACCCUGUCGCUGGCCGUGGUGACCCUGUCAGACGACCCUGUACAAGUGCUCCAAGGGGUGACUGACCUGAAACCCUGGGCCACGACUGUGAGGGUAACAGCUGGGACACAAAGGAUGCCA